CCAGGUGUCCACCUUUGAUUAGUUUGUUAAUUUCUUUUAUUGCACGGCUGAUCUCUAUGAAAAAUAAUAUAAAUAUUCAAAGAUUUGUUUUCGUCAACAACGGAAACAAACUGAUAUAAAGGAAUGUUUUUGCAGUGAAAUGUUAUUUCCAACUCAGUUGUUGUGCUGUAAGUUUCAUUUAAUAUCCACGUAAUUAACGGCAGAACUGGAAGUGAGAUAACAAGGAAAAUCCUACUUCAAGAAAAUAACUUGAAAGUUCAUCUGAAUAUCUAUAUGAAUAUAAUAAAAUAAUGACACUCCUGAGUAUUGGAACAUAUUUUUUAUAUGUUUAUUUGAAGUGCAUAUCCUUGUAUAUAUUCUUAUUGAGAGAAGUUUUCGUAUAUUUUCUAUUAUCAGUUUUAACUUUCACUGUUCAUGUCUUGGAGAUUAUUGCCAUUCUUGUUGAAAUUGUGACUUCGGCAAUGUAACGAUUAUCUCUUAUAUUUGAGAAACAAUAUAUGUUGACUGUGAUAUUUUAUUUACAAAGAUAAUAAAAACAUUCUGAUUA